rnacentral:rRNA from 1 species
UAGGGAAUAUUGGACAAUGGGCGAAAGCCUGAUCCAGCCAUGCCGCGUGAGUGAUGAAGGCCCUAGGGUUGUAAAGCUCUUUCGCCAGGGACGAUAAUGACGGUACCUGGAUAAGAAGCCCCGGCUAACUUCGUGCCAGCAGCCGCGGUAAUACGAAGGGGGCUAGCGUUGUUCGGAAUCACUGGGCGUAAAGCGUAUGCAGGCGGACCGUUAAGUCGGGGGUGAAAUCCCAGGGCUCAACCCUGGAACUGCCUUCGAUACUGGCGGUCUUCGAGUCCGGGAGAGGUGAGUGGAACUCCGAGUGUAGAGGUGAAAUUCGUAGAUAUUCGGAAGAACACCAGUGGCGAAGGCGGCUCACUGGCCCGGUACUGACGCUGAGAUACGAAAGCGUGGGGAGCAA